rnacentral:rRNA from 1 species
AUUGAACGCUGGCGGCAGGCCUAACACAUGCAAGUCGAGCGGAUGAAGGGAGCUUGCUCCUGGAUUCAGCGGCGGACGGGUGAGUAAUGCCUAGGAAUCUGCCUUGUAGUUGGGGAUAACGUCCGGAAACGGGCGCUAAUACCGCAUACGUCCUGAGGGAGAAAGUGGGGGAUCUUCGGACCUCACGCUAUCAGAUGAGCCUAGGUCGGAUUAGCUAGUUGGUGGGGUAAAGGCCUACCAAGGCGACGAUCCGUAACUGGUCUGAGAGGAUGAUCAGUCACACUGGAACUGAGACACGGUCCAGACUCCUACGGGAGGCAGCAGUGGGGAAUAUUGGACAAUGGGCGAAAGCCUGAUCCAGCCAUGCCGCGUAUGUGAAGAAGGUCUUCGGAUUGUAAAGCACUUUAAGUUGGGAGGAAGGGCAGUAAGUUAAUACCUUGCUGUUUUGACGUUACCAACAGAAUAAGCACCGGCUAACUUCGUG